rnacentral:rRNA from 1 species
UACAGAGGUCCCAAGCGUUGUUUGGAUUCAUUGGGCGUAAAGGGUGCGUAGGCGGCGCGGUAAGUCGGGUGUGAAAUCUCGGGGCUUAACUCCGAAACUGCAUUCGAUACUGCCGUGCUUGAGGACUGGAGAGGAGACUGGAAUUUACGGUGUAGCGGUGAAAUGCGUAGAUAUCGUAAGGAAGACCAGUGGCGAAGGCGGGUCUCUGGACAGUUCCUGACACUGAGGCACGAAGGCCAGGGGAGCAAACGGG